rnacentral:pre_miRNA from 1 species
AGCCCUCUGUAUCCGUGCAGAGAUUUCGUCACAGAUCAACCCAUUGGGGCCGAUGGCACUUCCCAAAUAAGUGAAGCG